rnacentral:rRNA from 1 species
AACGAACGCUGGCGGCAGGCUUAACACAUGCAAGUCGAACGCCCCGCAAGGGGAGUGGCAGACGGGUGAGUAACACGUGGGAACAUGCCCAAAGGUACGGAAUAUUCUCGGGAAACUGGGAGCAAUACCGUAUGUGCCCGAAAGGGGAAAGAUUUAUCGCCUUUGGAUUGGCCCGCGUUGGAUUAGCUAGUUGGUGGGGUAAAAGCCUACCAAGGCGACGAUCCAUAGCUGGUCUGAGAGGACGACCAGCCACACUGGGACUGAGACACGGCCCAGACUCCUACGGGAGGCAGCAGUGGGGAAUCUUGGACAAUGGGCGCAAGCCUGAUCCAGCCAUGCCGCGUGAGUGAUGAAGGCCCUAGGGUUGUAAAACUCUUUCGUGGGGGACGAUAAUGACGGUACCCCAUGAAGAAGCUCCGGCUAACUUCGUG